GGCAACAUAACGCAAACUCGGAACAAUCGAGUUCCAAUUCCAAAGUAGGGCAGAACUCUCUCAAGAUGCUAAUAUGACAACGUGUCAGCAGAAGACAUUGUCAAGGGUUAAAUCAAAUUGAAGGGAUGUUGUCACCAGCAUCAAGGCACAAUGUUGGUAAACUGAAGCCUAGGGCAAACCCUUUCGAAGUGCUCGAUGACAACAUUUCCCUGAUCAGGAAGAAGGAAAAGGAGAGCAGGAAACUGAGCCAGUUGGGCUUGCAGGUUCAUGAGAAGGUGACAUAUGCAGGCCGUAUGAAGGCCAAGCAGGCUGAUCUCCGCAGGAAGCUGAGAGAGGGGCUGGAGGAAGAGGACAUAGCCCAGCAAGGAGGGGAGGAGAGCAGGCUGGCCGAGCUACAAAACACCCCUGCCUGGAGGGCGGCCAUGAUCAAAGAUUGUAAUAUAGACAAAGAGAGCAUAAAUGAGUUUAUCAACCAGAAAAAGGAGAUGUUUCUGUUGGAGGUAAGAAGGGAACAACAGUCCAUAUAAACUGACCUGGUAAUCAUGUUAUGAUCUUGAUCGACUACAACUGGAAUGUGUUUGCAGAUAUUCGGUCUUUACACAAUUGAUAAUGUAAUUGUUAUGUAUUCAUUGUCUUUAUUGGUUUUCACUAGUGAAGGGUAGCCCAUGUGUAGGUACAGUCAAUACAAGCUUUCUCCACCUCCCACAUGUUUCUGGGAUUCUCCACCUACAUCUAUCUAUCUAUCUAUCUAUCUAUCUAUCUAUCUAUCUAUCUAUCUAUCUAUCUAUCUAUCUAUCUAUCUAUCUAUCUAUCUAUCUAUCUAUCUAUCUAUCUAUCUAUCUAUCUAUCUAUCUAUCUAUCUAUCUAUCUAUCUAUCUAUCUAUCUAUCACCACCACCACCACCACAGGAGGUUGGUGGCAACUUAAUUGGGGAGGACGGGCUCGUGGUAACGGCUGGAGCGGAGUAGGUGGAAAGGCAUCAAAUACAUGAAACAUAUGGUUUGAUACCAUUCCAUUG
rnacentral:lncRNA from 1 species